UUGGAGGGCAAGUCUGGUGCCAGCAGCCGCGGUAAUUCCAGCUCCAAUAGCGUAUAUUAAAGUUGUUGCAGUUAAAAAGCUCGUAGUUGAAUUUCGGGACCAUCAUGUCGGUCGUGCCUCGGUACGUACUGGCAUUGUUGGUUUCUCCCUUCUGACGAACCAUGAUGUCAUUUAUUUGGUGUUGUGGGGAAUCAGGACUGUUACUUUGAAAAAAUUAGAGUGUUUAAAGCAGGCUCACGCUUGAAUACAUUAGCAUGGAAUAAUGAAAUAGGACGUUUGAUUCUAUUUUGUUGGUUUCUAGGAUCGACGUAAUGAUUAAUAGGGAUAGUUGGGGGCAUUAGUAUUCAAUUGUCUGAGGUGAAAUUCUUGGAUUUAUUGAAGACUAACUACUGCGAAAGCAUUUGCCAAGGAUGUUUUCAUUAAUCAAGAACGGAAGUUAGGGGAUCGAAGACGAUCAGAUACCGUCGUAGUCUUAACCAUAAACUAUGCCGACUAGGGAUCGGAUGAUGUUAAUUUUUUAAUGACUCAUUCGGCGCCUUACGGGAAACCAAAGUGUUUGGGUUC
rnacentral:rRNA from 1 species